CGGGGGGGCUUGGCCGCCGCUCCAGCCAGCGCCGCAAAGGGGGCGGGCGAAGCCGCGAAAUCCCCCACGGCCGGGCAUCUCCCUGCACGUCCCCCACGUAGGAAGCCGGCGCGGGGGCGGGAGGUUCUGUCGCGCGCGCACCGUCACGCGUGGUGGCGCCCUGCUUGGGCGGGGAGGCGCGGGGCGCGCGAGGAGGCACAGCUGGGCCUGGCUUGCUGUUGAACUGGGCAGCCUAGAAGGGGCGGCCCCCUUCCUCGGAAACGAGGGCUCGCCCCCGGGAGUUCCGCGGAAGGGGAGACGCCGGGAAGUGGCUCGAAGAAGUGGGCGUGGAAAGCGAGCGGGGACUGUGCCGGCAGAAGCAAGAUCCCGGAGGCUUCGCGGUCCUCGCACUGGGUCCCCUCACCAGCCAGCUUACGCGGGCCCAGGGGGCCGAGCGCGGGGCCCCACCUGGGUCCUCGCCGACAGGGCAUCACCUCAUUCCACCCCGCCCCCUUCGGCCCACCCAUGCUGCGGCGCCUCCAGGCCUAAUCUCCGACUGGCGGAUUUGUAUUGCUAAACCAAGAGCGACGCCCCACAGCGCCCGCCCCUGAGUCACCGGUUCUUGCAGCCCUCGCGAAGGGCGCACGCCAGCUGGGCGGGACUUGAGCCGCAGUCCCCAGCCUGGCCCCAUCCUUCGGGCUUCCUCUUUCUUUUGGACACUCAAGCUCGCUGGAGUCUGGUGAAGAGUUUAGGUGCCCUUUCUAGGUGCCACCUUUUUCACUUCCCGAAGGAAGUUUGUCGAGCUGAGAGGAAUCCCUAGGAAACCGUUCGUCUUUAAAAGCGGAAGGGGAAGUGCGGAAUCAUAUUUAUGCUGCUACUAAGACUGAUGGCAACCAUAAGAUUCUUAGAUUAAUUGCUUCUGUGUGCCAAACACCACCAGGAGCUUUACUACCUUACAAGAGGACGCAUAAUACAUAGAAGUGGUUAUUACUCUGAUUCAACAGGUCUUGGGAGCAGCUACCAAUCAAGAGAGAGACCCACGUGGAUUUCUUCAUGAUGGCAGCUGAAGGGAUAAGGGUGUGUUUCAGCAUCCAGGGGAGAAGCAAAGCUCUCCGUAAGAGGCAAGAAUGGAUUUCUGCUUUUACCUGGCAACGUAAAAUCUGGCCAAGGGAGGCUUCACUUCGAGAGAAAAAGCCAUGCUCCCGUUUUCAUCACACAUUCAUGACUUUGCAGCAUGACUGUCUAAGAAGUGAUCAACCAGAGGCGUUACAUGAAUGAUCUUCUGGGCUCCUGUUGGUCAGGAUCUGUCAGGCCCAGGUGACAAUUAAACUGCACAGAGAGUUCGUUGCUGGAUCUGAUGGGCUCCUGUCUUGUUUCAUAACAGGUCCCUGCAGUGCUAUUGGUCUGGGGCUUUCCUCCUAAAAAAUGGACCCUCACUUAACACCUGCCAGGGAGAGUGGGCUGAGUGGGCAGUGGUGCACGUGACCAUGUGAAGUCAGAGAAAAGCUAGAAGAGAUCUUACCCAUCCUCGCUGGCAGUUCUGCCCCAUGGUGGGAGGACAGCGGCUAUGCCCGGGGCCUUUCUUCUCUUCUGACCUCAGCAGCAGGGGCUGGGAUGCCUGGAGAAAAGCAGAACCCAAAGGAGGCCACAUCAGGGCCUCGUUCCUGUCCUCAUCAGCUGGGAGGCUAAAGAUCCAGAUACUGAGGACCAGGGGCAGAGUGCAGGCCCCUGUUUCCAGAAGGAUCUGUAAUCCCAAGUAAAAUAUCAUAAGGUUUCUGGCAGGAUAUUAUUCCUGGAACCUAGUCUGCAGGUGGUGCCUCCUCUGCUUACAAAGAGGUCUGAAAUAUGCUGCUUUGGGGAGGAAAUCAAAUAGGAAUGGAAAGUAGCCAAGACAAUUAAAAGGUCAAAAUUUCAGAAGCGUGAUUUUUGUCACAGUGUCACUCUUUCCCCUGUCUAAUUUAAACAGGUUAGGGAGUAUCUCUGGGUAAAAGUUACUUUUCUCAUUAUAAAAGCAAUGCACACGCAUCACAAAAAAAUGUUAGAAAAUACAGGCAAGUAGUUUAAAACAUUUAAAUCAGCUUUACUCCUACAGAAAUAAGCUCUAUUAACAUGUUGGUAUCUACCCUUCCCUAUAUUUUUCUCCAGAUAACUACAUACCAAUAACAACACAAAAAUGGAACCCUGGUAUAAUUUUAGAAACUACUUUUUUCCAUGGGAUAAUAUAUUAUGAAAAUCUUUUCAUGCCGAUUAAUCAAGAGCUCAUUUUUUAUUGGUUAUACUGGGAAGAGAGCUUAUAAUUCAUAUACAGAAAGGCUAACUCAAGAACCCCUAGUCAAUAAAUGUCAAAUAGCCUAAGUCAGAAUUCAUAGCAAUUUUAUUAAGUCUCUACCAUAUCGUGAACAGCUUACAAAUAUUAUGUGAUUUGCCUAACGAUUAGUGUGCUGCAGCAAAUCCAAAAGCCUCCCUACGAUUUGAGGCCUUUUCAGUUCUAAGAGGAUGAGCCAAGAAUCCAGGCUUCCAAACACUGGCGUAAGCUGGGCAUCCAGCCACUGAAUCCCAAUGGCUCAGGGUUGGUGAAUUCUGCCAGAAUUGGUCUUGGCGGGAUACCUGGCACCCCUGACACCCCAAACGUUCCCUGGCCCAGCUCAGAGACGCAAACAAAAUUUGUGGGGUUGCUUUGUUAUUUGUUUACCUACACAAAAUUUGACUUAAAGCUCAGACUUAAUUCCUCCAUCUCGAGAGAUUCCAGAAGAGAGAAAACACAGAACUUGGCUGUGAAAUAUUCUUCAGAGAACUUAAAAAUGUCAGUACUUGUCUGAUAUUUACUCCCCCCUCUCCCAUUAGAGGACACUCUCCCAGGGUGCAGGGACUUUGUGUGUCCUCAGUUGUACACACAGUAGGCACUGAAUGCAGCCUCGAGGUCAGGCUGCUUGGCUUGGAGCUCUGCUCAGCCACGAAAUAGCCUGGACUCUGGAAAAGUUACUUAGCCGCCCUAAACCUCAGUCUCCUCAACUGCAAAGUGGGGCUAAUGACUGUAAUAAUAGAGCCAUAUAGAAUGAGAUGUGUGUACAUAAGCAGAGCACUUAGAACAGUGCUUGGCACUAAGUAUUCAAAAUAUACUAACUAUUAUCCUUAUUGACUGAUUAGCAAAUUUACUGAAAUUCAGAACAGUGUGACAGCAAAAACAGAUUUUACUGAGAACCAUAAAUGGCUUAUAAUUGGAGGCACAGCCUAUUUCAAGGUGGUUUAAAGCUGUGGGUCCCCCGGGAAAACAUGGGACAAUUGGUUGCGGUGAGGGAAGACAAUAGCAGAACUUUUAUUCAUGACUUAAAAUCUUACCCUAUAACUUUUUUAGACUAUUCUUUAUAAAGUACACAUUAUUUUAGUGCAUUACUAAAUGUAUAUAAUUUUUUAAAUUGAGAUACAAUUCAUAUACCAAAAGAUUCACCUUUUAAAAUAUGUAUAUAAUUCGGUGGUUUUAGUAUAUUCAUAAGGUUGUACAACCAUCAUCACUAUCUAAUUCAUCAUCCCAAAAAGAAGCCCUGUACCCUCAGCAGUCACUCCCUACUCUCUCCUCUCCCCAGCCCCUAGCAACCACUAACCUCCUUUCUUCUCUGUGGAUUUGCCUAUUCUAAACAUUCCACAUGCAUGGAAUCCUACAUGUAUAUAAUCUCCAAAUAAUUAAAAUACAUGCAUUUGGGAA